rnacentral:rRNA from 1 species
GACGAACGCUGGCGGCGUGCUUAACACAUGCAAGUCAAGGGGGCCCGCAAGGGCAACCGGCGAACGGGUGCGUAACACGUGAGCAAGUUUCCUAUUAGUGGGGGAUAGCCGGCCCAACGGCCGGGUAAUACCGCAUAUCUUGAUCGGGUGGCAUCGCCUGGUCAGGAAACCUCCGGGGCUAAUAGAGGCGCUCGCGGCCUAUCAGCUAGUUGGUGAGGUAAUGGCUCACCAAGGCUAUGACGGGUAGCUGGUCUGAGAGGAUGGCCAGCCACAUUGGGACUGCGACACGGCCCAGACUCCUACGGGAGGCAGCAGUGGGGAAUAUUGCGCAAUGGACGAAAGUCUGACGCAGCGACGCCGCGUGUGGGAUGAAGCCUUUCGGGGCGUAAACCACUGUUGCCCGGGACGAACAUCCCCUUUCGAGGGGACUGACGGUACCGGGUGAGGAAGCACCGGCUAACUCUGUG